UACGGGGGGGGCAAGCGUUGUUCGGAAUUACUGGGCGUAAAGGGCUCGUAGGCGGCCAACUAAGUCAGACGUGAAAUCCCCAGGCUCAACCUGGGAACUGCGUCUGAUACUGGAUGGCUUGAAUCCGGGAGAGGGAUGCAGAAUUCCAGGUGUAGCGGUGAAAUGCGUAGAUAUCUGGAGGAACACCGGUGGCGAAGGCGGCAUCCUGGACCGGCAUUGACGCUGAGGCGCGAAAGCCAGGGGAGCAACGGG
rnacentral:rRNA from 1 species